AGUAAUUUUCUUUCAUUUGUAGAGAAAGAAGGAACGAUACAGAGAAUAUUAGCAUGACACCUGCAUUAGGAUGGCACGCACAAAUCACAGAGAAAGAAGAUAGAGCU